rnacentral:rRNA from 1 species
UACGUAGGGUGCAAGCGUUAAUCGGAAUUACUGGGCGUAAAGCGUGCGCAGGCGGUUCUAUAAGACAGAUGUGAAAUCCCCGGGCUCAACCUGGGAACUGCAUUUGUGACUGUAGAGCUGGAGUGCGGCAGAGGGGGAUGGAAUUCCGCGUGUAGCAGUGAAAUGCGUAGAUAUCGGAAGGAACACCAGUGGCGAAGGCGGCUAUCUGGACUGACACUGACGCUGAGGCGCGAAAGCGUGGGGAUCAAACAGG